rnacentral:ribozyme from 1 species
UGCCCAGCAACUCCUAUCCCUACCUCCUCGUGGUACUGCCGGGGUACGAGUAACCUUGGGGAAGAUCGGGUAACCAACCCCCGGUGGGAACUUUGGUCGUAUGCUGACAGGGAAGG